rnacentral:rRNA from 1 species
UUUGUGGGCUUUGCCCACUGUCUCUUACCCAUGUCUUUUGAGUACUUACGUUUCCUCGGUGGGCUCGCCCGCCGGUUGGACAAUUUAAACCAUUUGCAGUUGCAAUCAGCGUCUGAAAAACAUAAUAGUUACAACUUUCAACAACGGAUCUCUUGGUUCUGGCAUCGAUGAAGAACGCAGCGAAAUGCGAUAAGUAGUGUGAAUUGCAGAAUUCAGUGAAUCAUCGAAUCUUUGAACGCACAUUGCGCCCCUUGGUAUUCCAUGGGGCAUGCCUGUUCGAGCGUCAUUUGUACCUUCAAGCUCUGCUUGGUGUUGGGUGUUUGUCUCGCCUUGCGCGUAGACUCGCCUUAAAACAAUUGGCAGCCGGCGUAUUGAUUUCGGAGCGCAGUACAUCUCGCGCUUUGCACUCAUAACGACGACGUCCAAAAGUACUUUUUACACUCUUGACCUCGGAUCAGGUAGGGAUACCCGCUGAACUUAAGCAUAUCAAUAAGCGGAGGA